CCUACGGGAGGCAGCAGUAGGGAAUCUUCCACAAUGGGCGAAAGCCUGAUGGAGCAACGCCGCGUGGGUGAAGAAGGUCUUCGGAUCGUAAAACCCUGUUGUUAGAGAAGAAAGUGCGUGUGAGUAACUGUUCACGUUUCGACGGUAUCUAACCAGCAGGCCACGGAUAACUACGUGCCAGCAGCCGCGGUAAUACGUAGGUGGCAAGAGUUAUCCGGGUUUAUUGGGUGUAAAGGGAACGCAGGCGGUCUUUUAAGUCUGAUGUGAACGCCUUCGGCUUAACCGGAGUAGUGCAUUGGAAACUGGGAGACUUGAGUGCAGAAGAGGAGGGUGGAACUCCAUGUGUAGCGGUGAAAGGCGUAGAUAUAAGGAAGAACACCAGCGGCGAAAGCGGCUCUCUGGUCUGUAACUGACGCUGAGGUUCGAAAGCGUGGGUAGCAAACAGGAUUAGAUACCCGAGUAGUC
rnacentral:rRNA from 1 species